rnacentral:lncRNA from 1 species
UACUCGGAUGGGUGACCUCCUGGGAUGUCCUCUUGUUGCACCCAUAUUUUUUCGGAUGAGUCAUUCGAUGUUACGUGCGAAUGGAAUUAUAAACUGCUGGUUCAUUCGCAAAGGUGAGUCAUGGUGCCGGGGCAUAUUAUUUGAUAUUAAAACAAGAAGGAGAGAUGCAGGGUGGAUGCACAAGGAAACAAAUGACGGGAGGGGGGAUGGAAGGAGAAAGAGGGUAUGUAUUUGCAGCGCAGAAUGAAACAUGAGCGAUCAUACCUGCACUAAUGCAACGUAUUCUAUCAGAACUCCUCAAGUUAAGGGUGUUUGGGCGAGAGUAGUACUAGGAUGGGUGACCUCCUGCGAAGUCCUUAUAUUUUCACCCAUUUUCUUGAGAAGUCCUCGUGUUGCACCUAUUUUUUUACAGAUGAAGCUUUCGACGUUACGCGCAACUUAAAUUAUGGUCCGCAGGAUUAUUCACAAAUGUGAGUCACGGCACCGUAUCAUUUUACUUGAUAUUUGAACGAGAAUGGGAGGUGUUGUGCGCACGCACAAGGAUACAAAUGAUGGGAGGGGGAAGAAAGGAGAAGGAGUGUAUGUAUUUGCAGCGCAAAAUUAAACAGGUGCGAUCAUACCAGCACUAAUGUACCGUAUCCCAUCUGAACCCCGCAGUUAAUUGUGCUUGGGCGAGAGUUGUACUCGGAUGGGUGACCUCUUGAGAAGUCCUCGUGUCGCAUUAAUUUUUUUCCAGACGGGUCGUUCGACGUUACACGCGACUGGAACUAUUGUCCGCUGGUUUAUACGCAAAUAUGAGUCAAGAAGCAGGGGCAUUUUAAUCGAUAUUAGAACGAGAAAAAAAGCUGCAGUGUGAACGCAUAAGGAAACAAAUGAUGGGAGGGGGGAGGGAAGGAGAAGGAGUGUAUGUAUUUUCAACACGAAAUGAAACAGGUGCGAUUAUACCAGUACAAAUACACCAGAUCCCAUCAGAACUCCGCGGUUAAUUGUGCUUAGGCGAGAGUAGUACUCGGAUGGGUGACCUCCUGCGAAGUCCUCGCGUGCGCCCCUUUUUUUUUGAAUGGGUUGUUCGACGUUACGCGCGAAAGGAAUUUUGAACCGUUGGUUCAUUCGCAAAGGUGAGUCACGGUACUGGGGCAUUUUACUUGAUAUUUGAAUGAGAAGGAGAGAUGCAGAGUUCACGCAUGGUCCGCAAAUUUAUUCACAAAUGUGAGUCACGGCACCGUGGCAUUUUACUUGAUAUUUGAACGUGAAAGAGAGUUGCAGUGCACACGCGCAAGGAAACAAAUGACGGGAGGGGGAAGAAAGGAGAAGGAGUGUACGUAUUUGCAGUGCGAAAUUAAACAGGUGCGAUCAUUCCAGCACAAAUGCACCGUAUCCCAUCAGAACUUAGCAGUUAAGUGUGCUUGGGCGAGAGUAGUACUCGGAUGAGUGACCUCCUGGGAAGUCCUCGUGUUGCACCUUUUUUUUUCGGAUGGGUUGUUCGACGUUACGCGCGAAUGGAAUUAUGAACCGCUGGUUUAUUCGCAAAGGUGAGUCACGGUACCUGGGUAUUUUACUUGAUAUUAUAACGAGAAGGAGAGAUGUAGAGUGCACGCACAAGGACACAAAUGACGGGAGAGGGAAGAAAAGAGAAGGAGUGAAUGUAUUUGCAGUGCAAAAUUAAUCAGGUGCGAUUAUAGCAGCACUAAUGCACCGGAUCCCAUAAGAACUCCGCAGUUAAGUGUGCUUGGGCGAGAGUAGUACUCAGAUGGGUGACCUCUUGGGAAGUUCUCGUGUUGCACCCUUUUUUUUUCGGAUGGGUCGUUCGACGUUACGCGCGAAUGGAAUUAUGAACAGCUGGUUCAUUCGCAAAGGUUAGUCACGGUGCCGGGGCAUUUUACUUGAUAUUAGAACAAGAAAAAGAGAUACAAAGUGCACGGACAAGGAAAUAAAUGACGGGAGGUGGGAUGGAAAGAGAAAGAGUAUAUGUAUUUGCAACGCAUAAUGAAAAAUGAGUGAUCAUACCUGCACUAAUACAACGGAUUCUAUCAGAACUCCGCAGUUAAGGGUGCUUGGGCGAGAGUAGUACUAGGAUGGGUGACCUCCUGCGAAGUCCUUAUAUUUCACCCAUUUUCUUGGGAAGUCCUCGUGUUGCAC